rnacentral:rRNA from 1 species
CUACGGGUUGCUCCAGGCGCGAAAAUUCCACAAUGCGCGAAAGCGUUAUGGAGAGACCCGAAGUGGAUUCGCUAAGCGGAUUCUUUUGCCAAAUGCAAAAAGUUUGGAGAAUAAGGGGUGGGUAAGACGGGUGCCAGCCGCCGCGGUAAUACCCGCGCCCCGAGUGGUAGUCGCGUUUAUUGGGUUUAAAGCGUCCGUAGCCGGUCUGUUUAGUUUCUAAUGAAAUCUCAUAGUAAACUGUGAGAAUUGUUAGGAAUACUGGCAGGCUUGGGACCGGGAGAGGCAAGGAGUACUGCAGGGGUAAGGGUAAAAUCUUAUAAUCCUUACAGGACUACCAGUGGCGAAGGCGCCUUGCUAGAACGGAUCCGACGGUGAGGGGCGAAAGCUAGGGGAGCGAAGGGGAUUAGAUACCCCUGUAGUC